rnacentral:rRNA from 1 species
GCACAAGCGGUGGAGCAUGUGGCUUAAUUCGACGCAACGCGAAGAACCUUACCAAGGCUUGACAUACACCGGAAAGCAUUAGAGAUAGUGCCCCCCUUGUGGUCGGUGUACAGGUGGUGCAUGGCUGUCGUCAGCUCGUGUCGUGAGAUGUUGGGUUAAGUCCCGCAACGAGCGCAACCCUUGUCCCGUGUUGCCAGCAGGCCCUUGUGGUGCUGGGGACUCAUGGGAGACUGCCGGUGACAAAUCGGAGGAAGGUGGGGAUGAUGUCAAGUCAGCAUGACCCUUAUGUCCAGGGCUACACACGUGCUACAUUGGCCGGUACAAAGGGCUGCAAACCCGCGAGGGGGAGCGAAUCCCAAAAAGCCGGUCCCGGUUCGGAUUGAAGGCUGAAACUCGCCUUCAUGAAGGCGGAGUUGCUAGUAAUCGCGGAUCAGCAUUGCCGCGGUGAAUACGUUCCCGGGC